GAUCCUGGCUCAGACUCAAGUCGUAGCAAGGUAGCCGAAGAGUUUGAUACGGGUGAGUAAUGUCUGGGAAACUGCCCGAUGGAAGAGGAUAACUACUGGAAACGGUAGCUAAUAGCGCAUAACGUCUCAAAACCAAAUAGGGGGACCUUGGGGCCUCUUGCCAUCGGAUGUGCCCAAAUGGGAUUAGCUUGAAUGUGAAGUAACGGCUCACCUAGGCUACCAUCCCUACCUGGUCUGACAGGAUGACCAGCCACACUGGAACUGAUACACGGUCCAGACUCCUACGGGAGGCAGCAGUGGGGAAUAUUGCACAAUGGGCGCAAGCCUGAUGCAGCCAUGCCGCGUGUAUGAAGAAGGCCUUCGGGUUGUAAAGUACUUUCAGCGGGGAGGAAGGGAGUGAGGUUAAUAACCUUAUUCAUUGACGUUACCCGCAGAAGAAGCACCGGCUAACUCCGUGCCCUCAGCCGCGGUAAUACGGAGGGUGCAAGCGUUAAUCGGAAUUACUGGGCGUAUUGCGCACGCAGGCGGUCUGUCAAGUCGGAUGUGAAAUCCCCGGGCUCAACCUGGGAACUGCAUUCGAAACUGGCAGGCUGGAGUCUUGUUGAGGGCGGGUAGAAUUCCAGGUGUAGCGGUGUAAAUGCGUGAGAUGCUGGAGAGAAUACCGAGUGAGCGACAGCGGCCCACCUGCGACUAAGACUGACUGCUACAUG
rnacentral:rRNA from 1 species